AACACCCGAGUGAGCGGCUGAGGAAUACGAUACAUUCCGAGCCCUUACGAGGGUAUUCU
rnacentral:pre_miRNA from 1 species